GAUGAACGCUGGCGGCGUGCCUAAUACAUGCAAGUCGAGCGAACAGACGAGGAGCUUGCUCCUCUGACGUUAGCGGCGGACGGGUGAGUAACACGUGGAUAACCUACCUAUAAGACUGGGAUAACUUCGGGAAACCGGAGCUAAUACCGGAUAAUAUAUUGAACCGCAUGGUUCAAUAGUGAAAGACGGUUUUGCUGUCACUUAUAGAUGGAUCCGCGCCGCAUUAGCUAGUUGGUAAGGUAACGGCUUACCAAGGCAACGAUGCGUAGCCGACCUGAGAGGGUGAUCGGCCGCCCUGGAACUGGGCCGCGGUCCAGGCUCCUGCGGGAGGCAGCAGUAGGGAAUCUUCCGCAGUGGGCGAAAGCCUGACGGAGCAACGCCGCGUGAGUGAUGACGGUCUUCGGAUCGUAAAACUCUGUUAUUAGGGAAGAACAAAUGUGUAAGUAACUAUGCACGCCUUGACGGUACCUAAUCAGAAAGCCACGGCUAACUACGUG
rnacentral:rRNA from 1 species